rnacentral:rRNA from 1 species
GACAGAGGAUGCAAGCGUUAUCCGGAAUGAUUGGGCGUAAAGCGUCUGUAGGUGGCUUUUUAAGUCCGCCGUCAAAUCCCAGGGCUUAACCCUGGCCAGGCGGUGGAGACUACUAAGCUUGAGUACGGUAGGGGCAGAGGGAAUUUCCGGUGGAGCGGUGAAAUGCGUAGAGAUCGGAAAGAACACCAAGGGCGAAGGCACUCUGCUGGGCCGACACUGACACUGAGAGACGAGAGCUAGGGGAGCGAAUGGG